AACGCACAUUGCGCCCUUUGGCAUUCCGAAGGGCAUGCCUGUUCGAGCGUCAUGAUCAAACCUCAAGCCUUGCUUGGUAUUGGGUUUUCGUCUUCCCCGUGGAUUGUAUUGAAUACAAUAUUACGGGUACUGGCGUGCCUGAAAUUCAUUAGCGGUGUCUCAAUAGACUCAAGCGUAGCAGACUGACUCGCUUUGGAGAACUUUUGUGGGCACUGUCAAUAAAAUAGUUAAAUUGGACCUCGGAUCAGGUAGGGAUACCCGCUGAACUUAA
rnacentral:misc_RNA from 3 species